GCAAAGCAAGUGCCACCCUCUGCACUCCGUCAAGGGCAUGGGAACUGGAGGACCCAGUCAAGGGCCUGCAGCCACGGCUGCUGGUGCCACUGAGUUCCAUGAAUCAGACAACAUCCAACCUAGCAGACAGAAAUGAGCUCUGAGGAACUGCGCAGAAGCAACUCAGAACAAGGAAAUUAUGCUGGACACUAAAAUCAGAUCCCACAUCUUUGAAAAGAAAAUGUGAACACCUGUAUCCAAGGUGUCCUUGAGAGUUAAGUAAGACAUCGUGGUGAUGCCCCCAGUGCACAGCUGCGGAUGAGAAGGAAAGGAGAACAAGAUGAAGUCCGAAGAGCGGGUUUGGAUACAGGGACAAACGAUGCAGCUGAUAUACACCUGCCCUCAUUGCCGUGUGCGCACACACACGCACACAUGCACACACGCAUGUACCUGAUUCAUCCGUCCUCCAGCCAACUUUCUAAAAAGAGUUCAAUAGUUUAAAAUAUUCAUAGCAAAUCUUCUCUCAGUUUUUGGCAUAAUUGAGUAAUCCAACCACUGAAUAAAGAAGGACUUGAUAUUUUUGGCUUCCUAGAAACUGUAGGGGAGGAAAACACUUCCUUCUACCCUUUCAGAUUCUGCAGCUAGUUUAAGAAUUAAGUUGACAUAGGACAGAUUAAUCAGGAGGAAAAACUCCAACUUUGAUUACGUACGUACUCAUGAGGUCUCACAAAAAUAUGAGACCAAGGUCAUUCUCAGAUGACCGAGAUUUACACAGCAUCUUGAGGUAAAGGAAAGGGUGAGGGUGGUCAUGGCUUUGAGGCGGAAGAGACAAAUUCUGGCCUGGGUGAGAGACGGAAGGGAAAACAGGCACAACCAGUAAAUCCCAGGAGCCUUGUUGUGCAGAUAAGGACCUCUCAGGUGAAAGACCACAUCUGGUAGCUCUCUUCCUGGUGUAUUUGCUAAGGGAAAUUUCCUUUAUAAAUGUAAAUUUCCUCUGUAAGAGGGGAAGUACAUACUUUUCUUAGGGGUCUUAGGGGGCGGUAAAGAGCUUUACCUGUGCCUGCUGAUUUUCUCUCCCCUUUGCCUCAAAUAAUCCAUAUGCCAAAGUGUCAUAUUUGGGCGCAGCCUGUUCUGAACCUUUUACAUUUUUUCAGCAUGAAAGAACACAAAAUGUAUAACCUUGACCAAACUUUACUCAGAAAUAUCAGUGUGCUCACAAUAAGGACUUCCUUAGGGCUGCUAGUGGGGAUCACUGCCUCCUUAAAUCCAUGGGGGGGCAAACCCCCCAGAGCCCCAAGAACAGAAUUCAGUCUAUCCUGGGGGUGUCCGACAGCUCAAGAGACUGAAAAGAAAAUGGGAUUGAACAAGUUUUCAUCUGAAUGCUGAGGAACCCCAGUGACUUGGACUUUUUGCCCUGGUUAGGUGUUGGGUGGAAGCAAGACUGGGGCAAAGACAACUUGAGGGGAGCUGGGCGGGACCAGGAUGAACUGCACACUCCAGAUACCUGCAGCACAGGUGCCCUGUCCGCUCCUCCUGGGAACUGGGAGCUACAGGAGCACCUAGUCACCAUGCAAGGGAAGGGGGGAGGGUAGGGGUGACCGUGGAUCUCAGGUCUGGAAGGUUUUGAUGGUGGAUAGGACGUCUUAUCAAUGCCAGACUUGCUUCCGAUAGGAGCACUCCACUAGCAUAGAUUUAACCCAGAAAUUAGGAACGCAGACAAUUGUUCGUGUCCCCAGUGGCUCUGGCCAGAAACAAUUAUCCGCUUGGCUCAUUAAAACAAGUAACGAAUGCUAAUUGUCUCCACAAUUAGCCAAGUACUGGUUCAGCCACUUGUGCCUACAGUACGGGAUUGCGUGCGAGAGUGGCUGGCAAGAGGAGGACUUAAAUUCAGCCCUAAAUAGUCUGUCAUUCUAUUUUUUUUUCUCUUUAUGCAGGGAGUGUGGGGUGCAGGAUAUAAAGAGGGAGCUUGGUCAAGGUGACCCCGACGCUAUUUUCUAGCUUUCAGAUAUGGAGAUUUGUGGUGAAAGCAAAUGCAUAGACUCAUAGAGGAUCCAUUUCCUCUGAGUCUACAUAAUCAGGAAAGUCCCUGGAGGGAGGAAGGAGAAGGAAGGAGAAGGUCCCUGGAUGGGAAGGAAAGGGAGGAGGAGAGAAAUACCACCCACACAAGGCAACAUUCCCUGAAUUUCUGGAAGUUUCCUUAGGCCCUACCAAG